GAGUUUGAUCCUGGCUCAGAUUGAACGCUGGCGGCAGGCUUAACACAUGCAAGUCGAACGAGGUUAGGGAGCUUGCUCCUGAUACCUAGUGGCGAACGGGUGAGUAAUGCUUAGGAAUCUGCCUAGUAGUGGGGGAUAACUUGGGGAAACUCAAGCUAAUACCGCAUACGACCUACGGGUGAAAGGGGGCGCAAGCUCUCGCUAUUAGAUGAGCCUAAGUCGGAUUAGCUAGUUGGUGGGGUAAAGGCCUACCAAGGCGACGAUCUGUAGCUGGUCUGAGAGGAUGAUCAGCCACACUGGGACUGAGACACGGCCCAGACUCCUACGGGAGGCAGCAGUGGGGAAUAUUGGACAAUGGGCGAAAGCCUGAUCCAGCCAUGCCGCGUGUGUGAAGAAGGCCUUUUGGUUGUAAAGCACUUUAAGUAGGGAGGAAAAGCUAAUGGUUAAUACCCAUUAGCCCUGACGUUACCUACAGAAUAAGCACCGGCUAACUCUGUGCCAGCAGCCGCGGUAAUACAGAGGGUGCAAGCGUUAAUCGGAAUUACUGGGCGUAAAGCGCGCGUAGGUGGUUACUUAAGUCAGAUGUGAAAGCCCCGGGCUUAACCUGGGAACUGCAUCUGAUACUGGGUAACUAGAGUAGGUGAGAGGGGAGUAGAAUUCCAGGUGUAGCGGUGAAAUGCGUAGA
rnacentral:rRNA from 1 species